rnacentral:ncRNA from 2 species
AUGCCCCCAAGGGGGUGCCUCCGGGCUGAGAGGCCACGCGCCGACCCCUCGAACCUGCUCCGGGUCAUGCCGGCGAAGGGAUUGGAGAACAGGUGAAA